CGUAGGUGGCAAGCGUUAUCCGGAAUUAUUGGGCGUAAAGCGCUCGCAGGCGGUUUCUUAAGUCUGAUGUGAAAGCCCACGGCUCAACCGUGGAGGGUCAUUGGAAACUGGGAGACUUGAGUGCAGAAGAGGAGAGUGGAAUUCCACGUGUAGCGGUGAAAUGCGUAGAGAUGUGGAGGAACACCAGUGGCGAAGGCGACUCUCUGGUCUGUAACUGACGCUGAGGAGCGAAAGCGUGGGGAGCAAACAGGAUUAGAUACCCUGGUAGUCCACGCCGUAAACGAUGAGUGCUAAGUGUUAGAGGGUUUCCGCCCUUUAGUGCUGAAGUUAACGCAUUAAGCACUCCGCCUGGGGAGUACGGUCGCAAGACUG
rnacentral:rRNA from 1 species